UGAACAGAGGCAUCACACAAACACCAUGAGAACAGAGGCAUCACACACACAACACCCUGUGAACAGAGGCAUCACACACAACACCCUGUGAACAGAGGCAUCACACAACACCCUGUGAGCAGAGGCAUCACACACAACACCCUGUGAACAGAGGCAUCACACACAACACCCUGUGAACAGAGACAUCACACACAACACCCUGUGAACAGAGGCAUCACACAACACCCUGUGAAAAGAGGCAUCACACAACACCCUGUGAACAGAGGCAUCAAACACAACACCCUGUGAACAGAGGCAUCACACACAACACCCUGUGACCAGAGGCAUCGCACACAACACCCUGUGAACAGAGGCAUCACACACAACACCCUGUGAGCAGUGGCAUCACACACAACACCCUGUGAACAGAGGCAUCGCACAACAACCUGUGAGCAGAGGCAUCACACAACACCCUGUGAACAGAGGCAUUACACACAAAACACCCUGUGAACAGAGGCAUCACACAACUCCCUGUGAACAGAGGCAUCACACACAACACCCUGUGAACAGAGUCAUCACACAGCACCCUGUGAACAGAGGCAUCACACAACACCCUGUGAGCAGAGGAAUCAAACACAACACCCUGUAAGCAGAGGCAUCACACAACACCCUGUGAACAGAGGCAUCACACACAACACCCUGUGAACAAAGGCAUCACACACAACACCCUGUGAACAGAGGCAUCACACAACACCCUGUGAACAGAGGCAUCACACACAACACCCUGUGAACAGAGGCAUCACACACAACACCCUGUGAACAGAGGCAUCACACAACACCCUGUGAACAGAGGCAUCACACACAACACCCUGUGAGCAGAGGCAUCACACACAACACCCUGUGAACAGAGGCAUCACACACAACACCCUGUGAACAGAGUCAUCACACAACACCCUGUGAACAGAGGCAUCACACACAACACCCUGUGAACAGAGGCAUCACACACAACACCCUGUGAACAGAGGCAUCACACACAACACCCUGUGAACAGAGGCAUCACACAACACCCUGUGAACAGAGGCAUCACACAACACCCUGUGAGCAGAGGCAUCACACACAACACCCUGUGAACAGAGGCAUCAAACACAACACCCUGUGAACAGAGGCAUCAAACACAACACCCUGUGAACAGAGGCAUCACACACAACACCCUGUGAACAGAGGCAUCACACAACACCCUGUGAACAGAGUCAUCACACACAACACCCUGUGAACAGAGGCAUCACACACAACACCCUGUGAGCAGAGGCAUCACACACAACACCCUGUGAACAGAGGCAUCACACACAACACCCUGUGAGCAGAGGCAUCACACAACACCCUGUGAACAGAGGCAUCACACACAACACCCUGUGAACAGAGGCAUCACACAACACCCUGUGAACAGAGGCAUCAC
rnacentral:lncRNA from 1 species